GCCCCUACACAAUUAGGCGGCGGUUAUCACCCGCUAUCUCGGCCGUAGGGACGGUGGUGCUGCACCGGAAUGUGUAGGCGGAGAGCGCGGUGGCUCUGAGUUGCGUUUGACCAGGGCUUUUCGAGAUACUGCAAUUGGAGGAUGCAAAAGAUUUGGGGAUGAAAAGGGGCAGAAUGGUAAUUGUUCAACUGCGCAUAAGCAAUACGUCACUGGAUGUGUCUGCUUCUCAUUGUAAGGACAAAGAGAACAGCAGAGAUGACCGGAUUACUAAAUAUGGAAUGUAUUGAAUCUCUAUGAUGGAACCGAGAAUCGUUCGUAAAAUUUGUCUCAACAAGGACUUCGGGAUUGAACGGACUCGAGAUAAUACCGAGUCGUUGAGCGAGAAUGGUAGUGAAACCGGUCUGGAUGAAACACUACUACAGUGGGAAAUUUCGAAAUCAUUUUGGAAGUGUGAAUAAAAGGACAGCUUCGAACGAGGAAGGGGCGUAAUGGUAAUUGCGCAAUGAGUUCUUGUGAAGAAGAAGAAGUGAAGUGGAAUCCAUCCAGACUUGAUCUGGUUCAUUUCUUGAUUGCUUUGAGUUAUGAGAAAUGGCAAUUUGUGUCUAUUCUGUAUAUAUAUUGUAUCUAUCUUUUUGGUGAUUUUUUUACCACUUUAUAUGUGGACAAAUAACAUUUGGACUGUGUUAGUAAAUUAUGUUCCUGCAAACAUAUUUAAUAUAUCAUAUGGAAAUAAAAUAUGUUUUAUG